rnacentral:rRNA from 1 species
UACGUAGGCAGCGAGCGUUGUUCGGAGUUACUGGGCGUAAAGGGCGUGCAGGCGGUUUGUUAAGUGCAGAGUGAAAGCUCCCGGCUCAACUGGGAGAGGUCUUUGCAUACUGGCAAACUCGAGGGAGGCAGAGGAAAGUGGAAUUCCCGGUGUAGUGGUGAUAUGCGUAGAUAUCGGGAGGAACACCUGUGGCGAAGGCGGCUUUCUGGGCCUUACCUGACGCUGAGACGCGAAAGCGUGGGGAGCGAACGGG